rnacentral:lncRNA from 1 species
AUAUAUAUAUAUAUAUAUAUAUAUAUAUAUAUAUAUAUAUAACAGAGACCAUCACUGGAUUAAAAUAAGAAAAGUCCAACAGUACACAUACACACAAAUAUUUGGAAUUUAGAAAUGUUCAAUGUGAAAGGAUGAAGAAAAGAUAGAGUAGAUAAUAAAAGACCAAAGAAAGCUGAGAUGGCCAUCCUAAUAGCUAAUAUAGAAUUGAACACCAUAUAUUGAACACCAGAUAUGUGUGCCAUAAACAUGUAUAUUCCUAGGAAGCCCUGGAUAAUACAUUUUUAAGCUUGAAAUAUGUAUACACACACACAUACAUAUGUACAUACAUUUAUACAUAUAUAUAUAUAUUCUGAAUUUUUAUGUUGAUAUACAUUACAUAGGUAUGUAUUUACAUAUAUGUACUAUAUAUAAAACCCUCCACUUGGAGCUAGGGUUGUGGCUCAGUGGUAGAGCACUUGCCUGGCACGUGUGAGGUACUGGAUUUGAUCCUUAGCACCACAUAAAUAAAUAAAGGUAUUAUGUCCAUCUACAACUAAAAUGUUUUUUAAACCCUCCACUUAAUAAAUGGAGAAGACUCCUUUUAUGUUUACAGUUAACAAUUACAGAAGUAAAUCAUGUUAGGGCACAAAGAAGACCUCAAUAAAUAAGUAUCAAUAUUCAAAACAAGGUGGGUAGGUCAGUAAUAGAGAACUUUCCUAGCACACACAAGGCCAUGGGUUCAAGGCCCAGUACCAUACACAAAGUUUAUAUUAAGCAUGUUCGCUGACCAUAUGUAAUACAAUUAACAGGAGCAGCUAAAAAAUGACUCCCAAUUUUGGGUAGCUAACAUUACUAAAUAACCCUCGGAUGAAAGAAGGAAUCAUAUGAAUUUAAGAAAUAUAUACAUAAAAUGAUAGGGACCCCAGCUGCUUGGGAGGCUGAAGCAGGAGGAUCAAAAGUUCAAAGCCAGCCUCAGCAACUUAUCAAGGCCCUAAGCAACUCAGUGAAACCUUGUCUCUAAGUAAAAUACAAAAAAGGGCUGGGGAUGUGGUUCAGUGGUUAAGCAACCCUGGGUUCAAUCCCUGGUGCCUUAAAAAAAAAAAAAAAGCCAGGCAAGGUGGCUCAAGCCUAUAAUCCCAGCAAUUUGGGAGGCAGCAGGAAGAUUGAAAGUUCAAGACCAGGCUGUUGCAAUGGGCAAAAGGUGAAACUUAUGCAGUCCCGGGGGAGAAAUAAAGAAUGUCCAAGUGCUUCUGCCCUUUUCAAUACUUUAUUCACUCAAAUCACUCCAUACAAUUUCACUCUAUAGGUUCUUAAUGAAGAAAAUGACAAUCCUGGGCUGGAGCUGGAGCUCCAUGUUAGAGCGCUUGCCUCACAGGUAUGAGGCCCUGAGUUCUAUCCUCAGCACCACAUAAACUAAAGAUGUUGUGUCCACCGAAAACUGAAAAGUAAAUAUUUAAAAAUUUUCUCUCUCUCUCUCUCUUACAAAAAACACACAAAAAAAUAUCAAGCCUUAGGUUUUAAAUCCUACAGAUGCACCCUUACUCAGAUGGCGGUGAUCAGAUCAGGAACCAAGGCAGGCUUCUCCUGGGGUGGAGCUGACAGCUGGCUGAGGAGAGGGUCAUAGAGAGAAGUUGCAGCUCUCAUUAGGGUCUAGAUGUGGCUGUAGAGUUUGAGAGCGGUGAGGAAGAGGCAAAAGAUCACCAAAUGAUGAAAAGUGUUGGGAUGUCAGUCCAGGUCCUCAUCAGGCCCUCAGCGGGAGGGCAUCAGUAUUGGCUGGCUGAAAGUCUUUCAUUUGCUUUAUUAUUUGUACCAAAUUUUGGGAUUUUAGACCCCCCUUUCAGUCCUUAUCAGCUGCCACUGGAUCUCCUGAUGACAUUGUUUACCCUGGGGUUAAAACAUCUGGUCUGGUGGUCCACACCCUGAUAUUUUCGCCUUUCCCUCUUAUCAGGCGCCUUUCCCUCUUAUCUGAGGCCUUUCCUUCUUAUCUGCCAGAGGCUUAUUCUGAGAUUAUCAGGGUGGGGAGAAGUGAUUUGUUUAUGCCUGCAGGCCAUACUGGAGGGCUCUGUUAAGCGUGCCUGGUGAGACUGCUUGUUUCAACCAGGAAUUUUUAAACUGGAGUUGUAUAGGCUCAGGCCUAAGGCCAUUCACACAGCCUCAGCAAUUUAGCAAGAACCUAAGCAACUCAGUGAGAUUCUAUCUCUAAUAAAAUAUGAAAAUGGGGUUGGGGAUGUGGCUCAAGCGGUAGCGCGCUCGCCUGGCAUGCGUGCGGCCCAGGUUCGAUCCUCAGCACCACAUACAAAGAUGUUGUGCCUGC